rnacentral:rRNA from 2 species
CUAUCCAUGCAGUCGAGCGGACUUGCUGGGAGCUUGCUCCCUGAAGUCAGCGGCGGACGGGUGAGUAACACGUGGGCACCUGCCUGUAAGACUGGGAUAACUUCGGGAAACCGGAGCUAAUACCGGAUAAUUCUUUCCCUCACAUGAGGGAAAGCUGAAAGAUGGUUUCGGCUAUCACUUACAGAUGGGCCCGCGGCGCAUAGCUAGUUGGUGAGGUAACGGCUCACCAAGGCAACGAUGCGUAGCCGACCUGAGAGGGUGAUCGGCCACACUGGGACUGAGACACGGCCCAGACUCCUACGGGAGGCAGCAGUAGGGAAUCUUCCGCAAUGGACGAAAGUCUGACGGAGCAACGCCGCGUGAGUGAUGAAGGUUUCGGAUCGUAAAACUCUGUUGUUAGGGAAAACAAGUACCGGAGUAACUGCCGGUACCUUGACGGUACCUAACCAGAAAGCCACGGCUAACUACGUGCCACAGCCGGGUAUACGUAGUGGCAGCGUGUCCGGAUUUUGGCGUAAGCGCGCGCAGGCGGUUCUUAAUCUGAUGUGAAGC